CAACGCGAAGAACCUUACCAGGCCUUGACAUGCAGAGAACUUUCCAGAGAUGGAUUGGUGCCUUCGGGAACUCUGACACAGGUGCUGCAUGGCUGUCGUCAGCUCGUGCGUGAGAUGUUGGGUUAAGUCCCGUAACGAGCGCAACCCUUGUCCUUAGUUACCAGCACGUUAUGGUGGGCACUCUAAGGAGACUGCCGGUGACAAACCGGAGGAAGGUGGGGAUGACGUCAAGUCAUCAUGGCCCUUACGGCCUGGGCUACACACGUGCUACAAUGGUCGGUACAAAGGGUUGCCAAGCCGCGAGGUGGAGCUAAUCCCAUAAAACCGAUCGUAGUCCGGAUCGCAGUCUGCAACUCGACUGCGUGAAGUCGGAAUCGCUAGUAAUCGUGAAUCAGAAUGUCACGGUGAAUACGUUCCCGGGCCUU
rnacentral:rRNA from 1 species